rnacentral:tRNA from 1 species
UCUCCAAUAGCUCAGUGGUAGAGCGAAUGACUGUUAAUCAUUAGGCCGUUGGUUCAAACCCAACUUGGGGAG